rnacentral:rRNA from 1 species
GACGAACGCUGGCGGCGUGCCUAACACAUGCAAGUCGAGCGGAGGUACUUGAGGAGUAAUCUGAGGGUACUUUAGCGGCGGACGGGUGAGUAACGCGUGAGCAACCUGCCUUUCACAGGGGGAUAAGGCGGCGAAAGCCGCUCUAAUACCGCAUGAGACCACGGGGAUGAUAUUCCAGGGGUCAAAGGAGCAAUCCGGUGAGAGAUGGGCUCGCGUCCGAUUAGGUAGUUGGUGAGGUAACGGCUCACCUAGGCAAUGAUAGGUAGGCGGCCUUAACGGGUGGUCGCCCACACUGGGAUUGAGAUACGGCCCAGACUCCUACGGGAGGCAGCAGUCGAGAAUAGUCUACAAUGGUCGGAAGACUGAUAGUGCGACGCCGCGUGAACGAUGAAUCCCUUCGGGGUGUAAAGUUCUUUUAUAUGUGAGCAGUGCUUCUUAUAUUAACAGUAUGGGGAGAGAGAUAUUAGCAUAUGAAUAAGCAACGGCUAACUCCGUG